rnacentral:lncRNA from 1 species
GAAAUUCAUGUUUGUAUGGUUCUAUGAUGUCUAAAUGACAAGUUCAUGUUAGCUAUAUUCUUCAAUAUGAAUUCCAUGCUUUUCAUGUGUUGCUAUUGUGGUGGUAUGAAGCAUGCAAGAUAAUGGAGAUAUACAAUAUGUACAUGAAAUAUAUCCAUGUAUUCUCUACAAUGUUUAAGAUGUUGAAUAGCUAUAUGAAAUAUGAUAUCCCC